rnacentral:rRNA from 1 species
GACGAACGCUGGCGGCGUGCUUAAUACAUGCAAGUCAACUUGACUUUAGAUAGCAAUAUCGAAAAGUAGGGUGGCGCACGGGUGCGUAACGCGUAGGUAAUCUGCCUGAGGUCUGACAUAACCCGUCGAAAGCGGGCUAACAUCAGAUGAUAUAUAAUCACGACAUCGUGGAAAUAUCAAAGUCUUCGGAGCCUUGGGAUGAGCCUGCGUCUGAUUAGGUAGUUGGCGGAGUAAUAGCCCACCAAGCCUACGAUCAGUAGCUGGUCUGAGAGGAUGAUCAGCCA